rfam:Nicotiana sylvestris Nsyl_contig125225, whole genome shotgun sequence.
UUAUGGCAAGGAUGAUGAAAACAAAUUAGAUGUGUAAGGGGUGUAUUCCUCUAUGAGCUUAACAUCGAGGCAUAUUUAUAUUCCAACGUGCCUUUA